rnacentral:lncRNA from 8 species
AUGGAGCAUAAUAAUGGAGAUACUUCUAGCUGGUCGAUGCAGCGACGAAUGGAAGGUUUGGUCAACAAACACAUGGCAGACAUAGCACUAGAAACACUCCAACAGAGACUAUCAGCUGUGUCCGACGAAAUGAACCAUCUUGCGGAACAUGUCUCGAGACGCUCGGAGGAUGUUCCCAAGUAUGAUAUUCCAAGACGCACAGAUGUAAACUUUGACGUUGAGUCACUGAGUGCAACAUUUAGCACGGGUGGUGUUGGGGAAAAGUUGGCGAUCCCAGGCACCUCAUCAUCAGCAGAGACGGCUGCCCAGCGUAAAAUCAUCUCCCUGCUGGUGGAGAUUAAGGAGGAGCAGCAGAGACAGUGGGGCGUUUUGAGGCAGAUGCAGGCCAGGGUUCAGGGCCAGAGCUUUCCGGUGGUAGAGGAAGAGGUGGAGGCUCUAGACAUUGACAUCCCACUGAGGACCAUGGAGCAGCUAGAUGACACAGAGAGGCACCUGGAGGAUGCAGGAGCACAGAAGAGAAUGGUGUCUCACCUGUCACGAAUGGGUGGGGCCACGUUUGAUGAUGCGGUGCGAAGGCUCAUGCAGGCAGUGCUAUCUUUUGCUGUGGGCUCUGAGCUCAACUGGGUGGGCCGAGGCCAGAAAAGGAGCUUCAGAAACACCCGCCUCCAAGGGGUUCUCUUUUGUGCUCUGAAAAGAACCCCAGUGGGCAAAGAGGCCACACAUCACCAGUUUGCAGACGUGGUGAAGAAGUGGCUGCGGUUCGCCCCGUUCAGACAGGGAGGGAGUGGUCGACGGCAUUAUAAACCACCUGGUGACUUCCUGUGUCCAAAGGAAUGUGUAGGUCUGCCUACACAUCAGCCUACACAUCCACAGUAACUCACAAUCAGCUUACUAAAUAUAUUAUAUUGUUUAACAUUUUAGUAUUAUUUCCUAAGUUUGUUACAUUGCAAAAAAUAAAUGCUAUUUGAAUGUGAAUACAUGCUGUUUGGCCCAUGUUACUUCAUACAGGGCCAAACCUGUGAUCUGCUCAAGUAACUUGGACCCCUACAUAAAUCAUGCAAUGAUGUAAAUCACGUGCCAAACUCAUUCCACGGAGGGUAGAGUGUCUGCGGGUUUUCACUCCUCCCUUGUACUUGAUUGAUGAAUCAAGGUCACUAAUUAGUAAAUAACUUCAGUCACCUGGUUUUCUAGGUAUUAAUUGAAAAUAAAUAAUAAAAACCCGCAGACACUAGGCACAACAUGGAAUGAGUUUGACACCCCUGAUGUAAAUUGAAGAUGUAUCCUCAAAGUCCAGUUUCUCACACAGUUCUCAAAAUGAUGCCCACAAUGUAUAGUCUCCAAUAGAGACACAUCCCAUGACGCUCCUCACAUCACAGAUCUGUCAGGUGUGGUUGGAUGUUUAUCCCAGAGUAAUUCAAACCAAAUACUGCUGCAAAACCUGUUGAUAAAAGUUGUUUAUUGCAGUUAAUGCUUUGAACGUACUGAUUAGAAAGCUUUCCGGCAGAUUUUUUUUACCCCACUAAUGAGAUUAUGGCUAAAUAUACACUACCAUUCAAAAGUUUGGGGUCACAUAGAAAUGUCCUUGUUUUUGAAAAAGCACCUUUUUUGUCCAUUUAAAAUAACAUCAAAUUGAUCAGAAAUACUGUGUAGACAUUGUUAAUGUUGUAAAUGACUAUUGUAGCUGGAAACGGCUGAUUUUGAAUGGAAUAUCAACAUAGGCGUACAGAGGCCCAUUAUCAGCACUUCAGCAGGCCCAUUAUCAGCACUCCUGUGUUCCAAUGGCACAAUAUGUUAGCUAAUCCAAGUUUAGCAUUUUAAAAGGCUAAUUGAUCAUUAGAAAACCCUUUUGCAAUUAUGUUAGCACAGCUGAAAACUGUUGGGUUGAUUUAAAGAAGCAAUAAAACUGGCCUUCUUUAGACUAGUUGAGUAUCUGGAGCAUCAGCAUUUGUGGGUUCGAUUACAGGGUCGAAAUGGCCAGAAACAAAUGUUUUUCUUCUGAAACUUGUCAGUCUAUUCAUGUUCUGAGAAAUGAAGGCUAUUCCAUGUGAGAAAUUGGCAAGAAACUGAAGAUCUCGUACAACGCUGUGUACUACUCCCUUCACAGAACAGCGCAAACUGGCUCUAACCAUAAGAGGAGUGGGAGGCCCUGGUGCACAACUGAGCAAGAGGACAAGUACAUUAGUGUCUAGUUUGAGAAACAGACACCUCACAAGUCCUCAACUGGCAGCUUCAUUAAAUAGUACCCACAAAACACCAGUCUCAACGUCAACAGUGAAGAGGCGACUCCAGGACGCUGGCCUUCUAAACAGAGUUGCAAAGAAAAAGUAGAUAUUCUAUUAAAAAUCAGCAGUUUCCAGCUACAAUAGUCAUUUACAACAUUAACUAUGUCUCCACUGUAUUUCUGAUCAAUUUGGCUGUUAAUAUAGGCCAUGAACAUUGCAGUUUGUAGUAGGUCUGAUGUUUUCAUACUUACGAGGACGCAGGCUUCCGUGUCAUUCAGAUGACAUCUUUCUGCACAUUGUUUUUCCUAUAUAUAACUAUGAGUGAGUGAAUGUUGAAGACACGAAAGCAAUUUACUAUAUGUUAAAAAGUAAUGUCCAUAUAAGCUUAUUUCUUGUGACAACCAUCAUACAUUGUAAAUGUCCAUAAAUUGAUAUUUGUAAAUACAUAUUUCUCAUUCAUUUCUGUUUCCUUGUUUUGUAAUGAAAAAAUGUGUAAUUGGGGUACCAGCCCAAACUGUUAUAGCUCACUGACAUCAUUGAUUCAGGUAUGGUUUCUGCUGGGCACUGAGAAACGCACACACAAAGGCAUUUUUUUUAAGAAAUAGCUGUGUUUUUGGUUGCUACUGGUGAAUUUUGAAGGGAAAAUACAUCCAAAACUUAUAAUUUGGUCAAUACACUACCGUUCAAAAGUUUUAUAACACCUACAAUACCCAUUCAAAGGUUUUUCUUUAUUUGUAAUAUUUUCUACAUUGUAGAAUAAUAGUGAAGACAUCAAAACUAUGAAAUAAUACAUUUGGAAUCAUGUAGCAACCAAAAAAGUGUUAAACAAAUAAAAAUAUAUUUUAUAUUUGGGAUUCUUCAAAUAGCCACCCUUUGCCUUGAUGACAGCUUUGCACACUCUUGACAUUCUCUCAACUAGCUUCACCUGGAAUGCUUUUCCAACAGUCUUUAAGGAGUUCCAACAUACAGUUGAAAUCGGAAGUUUACAUACACUUAGGUUGGAGACAUUAACACUCGUUUUUCAACCACUCAUCAAAUUUCUUGUUAACAAACUAUAGUUUUAUAUUUUUAUAGUUUUGGCAAGUCUGUUAGGACAUCUACUUUGUGCAUGACACAAGUACUUUUUCCAACAAUUGUUUACAGACUAUUUCACGUAUUCAUUGUGUCACAAUUCCAGUGGGUCAGAAGUUUACAUACACUAAGUUCACUGUGCCUUUAAACAGCUUGGAAAAUUCCAGAAAAUGUCAUGGCUUUAGAAGCUUCUGAUAGGCUAAUUGACAUCAUUUGAGUCAAUUGGAGGUGUACCUGUGGAUGUAUUUCAAGGCCUACCUUCAAACUCAGUGCCUCUUUGCUUGACAUCAUGGGAAAAUCAAAAUAAAUCAGCCAAGACCUCAGGACAAAAAAGUGUAGACCUCCACAAGUCUGGUUCAUCCUUGGGAGCAAUUUCCAAAUGCCUGAAGUUACCACGCUCAUCUGUACAAACAAUAGUACGCAAGUAUAAACACCAUGGGACCACGCAGCCGUCAUACCGCUCAGGAAGGAGAUGCGUUCUGUUUAAUAGAGACAAACGUACUUUGGUUUGAAGAUGGAGGAAAUGGGUACAAAAGUAUCUAUAUCCACAGUAAAACGAGUCCGAUAUCGACAUAACCUGAAAGGCUGCUCAGCAAGGAAGAAGCCGCUGCUACAAAAUCACCAUAAAAAGCCAGACUAUGGUUUGCAACUGCACAUGGGGAUGAAUAUCGUACUUUUUGGAGAAAUGUCCUCUGGUCUGAUGAAACAAAAAUAGAACUGUUUGGCCAUAAUGACCAUCGUUAUGUUUGGAGGAAAAAGGGGGAGGCCAUAGAACACCAUCCCAACCGUGAAGCACGGGGGUGGCAGCAUUGUGUUGUGGGGGUGCUUUGCUGCAGGAGGGACUGGUGCACUUCACAAAAUAAAUGGCAUCAUGAGGCAAGGAAAAUUAUGUGGAUAUAUUGAAACAACAUCUCAAGACAUCAGUCAGGAAAUUAAAGCUUGGUCGCAAAUGUGUCUUCCAAAUGGACAAUGACCCAAAGCAUACUUCCAAAGUUGUGUUAAAAUGGCUUAAGGACAACAAAGUCAAG